rnacentral:misc_RNA from 1 species
CAAACAUGUCGUCAAAUCGUC